CUUGGGUUCAGUGUCACUCCGUUUGAUAUUUAAAGAGUCCGUCUCAUCAUUUGAGGGCUCAUGUUCCUCCGUAGAGACAUUUUUUCCAGCCAAAAGAGAUACAGGUAUGGGAGGAGAUUUAUCUGCGAUCAAAGGUCAAAUACGAACCCCCGAUUAUAUUCUGGAUGGCUUCUUGUGCUUUUUGAACGCCGAGUCUGAACCCGUCAAAUUCGGAGCGAAUCCUCAUACCUCUGUAAUAAUAAACGAGGCUGAGUUCAAAAUCUCCAAGAUGAUAGAGCGCCUCUGCCUUGUAAUACAUCGCCCUGGCGUUGCUUGGUUCCUUUGAAUUUUCCUGGAGAGCAGCCUCGGCAUCCUGUAGAGCCUUUUGGGGCUCCCCAAGAAGAAGGGUGUCUAUCGUGGCCGAAGUUCCGAUCGUUGAAGAAUCACCCAGAGUAGCUGUCCUUCCAUCUCGCUUGGUCGUUUGCCUACCACCACCGUAUUUUCCUCUGCGAUUUCCAUUUGCGCCUCCACGAUCGACGCUCUCCUCAAGACCGACCCGUACAAAACUCAGGAGGAAAUCGUUCGAUUGCAACGUUGGAUUGAGGAUUUCUGUUGCCUGAGCACUCGCCAUAUCUGCAGACGCGAGUUCGCCAGCGAUAACAUCCGGAACGUACCAAGGGUGUGUUGCUGCUCCCAAGUAAAAGUGAACCAGAGUUUCACCCUCUCUUGUAAUUCACCAGGGAGGUUCAAUCUUCUCAUAUAUUCAAGAGUCUCGUCAACCAGCUUCCGGUAUUCCGUUCUCG